CAGGAAGAACAUCGAUGGCGAAGGCAGAUCUCUGGGCCGUAACUGACGCUGAGGAGCGAAAGGGUGGGGAGCAAACAGGCUUAGAUACCCUGGUAGUCCACCCCGUAAACGUUGGGAACUAGUUGUGGGGUCCAUUCCACGGAUUCCGUGACGCAGCUAACGCAUUAAGUUCCCCGCCUGGGGAGUACGGCCGCAAGGCUAAAACUCAAAGGAAUUGACGGGGACCCGCACAAGCGGCGGAGCAUGCGGAUUAAUUCGAUGCAACGCGAAGAACCUUACCAAGGCUUGACAUAUAGAGGAAACGUCUGGAAACAGUCGCCCCGCAAGGUCUCUAUACAGGUGGUGCAUGGUUGUCGUCAGCUCGUGUCGUGAGAUGUUGGGUUAAGUCCCGCAACGAGCGUAACCCUUGUUCUAUGUUGCUAGCACGUAAUGGUGGGAACUCAUGGGAUACUGCCGGGGUCAACUCGGAGGAAGGUGGGGAUGACGUCAAAUCAUCAUGCCCCUUAUGUCUUGGGCUUCACGCAUGCUACAAUGGCCGGUACAAAGGGCUGCAAUACCGUAAGGUGGAGCGAAUCCCAAAAAGCCGGUCCCAGUUCGGAUUGAGGUCUGCAACUCGACCUCAUGAAGUCGGAGUCGCUAGUAAUCGCAGAUCAGCAACGCUGCGGUGAAUACGUUCCCGG
rnacentral:rRNA from 1 species